rnacentral:lncRNA from 1 species
GGCCAACAUAGUGAAACCCCGUCUCUACUAAAAAUACAAAAAUUAGCUGAACGUGGUGGCGCAUGCCUGUAAUCCCAGCUACUCUGGUGGCUGAGGCACGAGAAUCGCCUGGACCUGGGAGGCAGAAAUAACUAAAAUCAGAAGUAUAAGGGAAAAUUUUAUUACUGACCAACAGAAAACAAAAGAAUUAUAAGAGGAACAACUGUAUGCCCACAGAGUAGAUAACCUAGAUGAAAUGGACAAAUUCUUAGAAGGAUACAAAUAACCCAGUAUGACUCAUGGCAAAAUAGAAAAUCUCUGCAGACCUAUAACAAGUAAAGACAUUGAAUCAGUAAUCAAAAACCUUCUGACAGACCCUCCUGCACUCCACAACCCCACUCCAGCGGCUUGUUAAAAAAAGACAGGCCACCUUCUAACAAAGAAAAGUCCAAGACCACACCACUUCACUGCUGAAUUGAACCAAACACUUAAAGAAAAAUUAACAGCAAUCCUUCCCAAACUCUUUUUUGAGAAGGCACCUGUCGUCCCAGCUACUCUGGGGGCUGAGGCAGGAGGAUCACCUGAGACUUCGGAGGUCGAGACUUCAGUGAGCCAUGAUU